rfam:Macaca mulatta chromosome 4, whole genome shotgun sequence.
UGGCGCCCGAACAGGGACUUGGAAAUGAGGGACUCCGUGAGGAAGAGGACGCCAAAGGACGGUCGACCGCUAACGAAGACAAAAGGAGUCAAACUCUUCCGAUCACCGCGGGAACCUGCCGCGUCAGAAUCGAAGGUAAGUGGCGCGUCCGAAAUGGGACAAGAAUUAAGCCAACAUCAAAUAUAUGUAGGACAAUUAAAAGAGGCUUUAAAGAUACGAGGAGUAAAGGUUAAAGGUAAUGAUUUGUUUAAAUUUUUUGAUUUUGUAAAAGACACUUGCCCUU